AGAAGGAGAAAGAAGAAGAAGGAGAAAGGAGGGAGAAGGAAGGGAGGAAGAGAGAGAGAGAUAGCUAUUCUCAACCGAUUGGAGCGAUUCAAAAGCCUAAAUCGCUUAGAAUCUCGUCCUCAUCAUUAAUCCAAGCUUGGUUCUUAGUGGGGAGCUUUGUGUGGUGAGAUAUUGCCCCUCAAAGUUUCGCCCCUUUGUGAAAUUUUGGGGUUUUGAGUGCUUCAACCUCCAUUGAAGAUUGAGGAGUCAUCAAUCCUUGGUUGUGUGAUCAUUAGUGGAUUGAGGCAAUCGGACCAACCGUGAUAGAGCAACCAUUGGAGCAAGGAAUGGAGUUGGAUUAGCUCCUUGAACUAGGUGUUAAUAAUUGAAGUAGAUACUUGUUGAGAUUGGUGAAAGAACAAAGGUUAAUUGGAAGCUUGAGGUAAGGAUGCUGCAGGAGCCACCAGUGGCAAGUGGCCAUACUUGGACUAGUAGUGAUGCAUGAGGAUCCUAUAUUUUGAUAUUAUACAUGUUGUUUUGUAGCUCACAUGUAUAGGAUUGUAAUUAAUAGACAAUUGAUAGAUGUAUGUUCUGUUUAUUUGGAAUGGACUUAGCCUAUGCUCAUG